rnacentral:rRNA from 1 species
GACGAACGCUGGCGGCGUGCUUAACACAUGCAAGUCGAGCGGAAAGGUCCUGCUUUUGUGGGGUGCUCGAGUGGCGAACGGGUGAGUAACACGUGAGUAACCUGCCCUUGACUUUGGGAUAACUUCAGGAAACUGGGGCUAAUACCGGAUAGGAGCUCCUGCUGCAUGGUGGGGGUUGGAAAGUUUCGGCGGUUGGGGAUGGACUCGCGGCUUAUCAGCUUGUUGGUGGGGUAGUGGCUUACCAAGGCUUUGACGGGUAGCCGGCCUGAGAGAGUGACCGGCCACAUUGGGACUGAGAUACGGCCCAGACUCCUACGGGAGGCAGCAGUGGGGAAUAUUGCACAAUGGGCGGAAGCCUGAUGCAGCAACGCCGCGUGCGGGAUGACGGCCUUCGGGUUGUAAACCGCUUUCGCCUGUGACGAAGCGUGAGUGACGGUAAUGGGUAAAGAAGCACCGGCUAACUACGUG